rnacentral:rRNA from 1 species
CACGUGAGAAUUUGCCUUUAGGAGGGGGAUAACAGAGUGAAAACGCUGCUAAUACCCCAUAUGCUUUCGAGUGAAAUGGAUUUAUUCGCCUAAAGAGAAGCUCGCGGCUGAUUAGCUUGUUGGUAAGGUAAUGGCUUACCAAGGCGACGAUCAGUAUCUGGUUUGAGAGGACGAUCAGACACACUGGAACUGAGACACGGUCCAGACUCCUACGGGAGGCAGCAGUGGGGAAUUUUCCGCAAUGGGCGAAAGCCUGACGGAGCAAUACCGCGUGAGGGAUGACGGCCUAUGGGUUGUAAA